rnacentral:rRNA from 1 species
UACGGAGGGGGCUAGCGUUGUUCGGAAUACUGGGCGUAAAGCGCACGUAGGCGGCUUUGUGAAGUUAGAGGUGAAAGCCCGGGGCUCAACUCCGGAAUUGCCUUUAAGACUGCAUCGCUAGAAUUGUGGAGAGGUAAGUGGAAGUUCCGAGUGUAGAGGUGAAAUUCGUAGAUAUUCGGAAGAACACCAGUGGCGAAGGCGACUUACUGGACACAUAUUGACGCUGAGGUGCGAAAGCGUGGGGAGCAAACAGG